rnacentral:lncRNA from 1 species
AUGGAUCCCAGAGCAGAAUCCCCAGAAGCACACGGCCUCUUGGACAGCACUCGGGACCUGGAGCCUCCACAGCAGUGCAGCGACGAGGGAGACGACGAGGACCGGGAAGAAGGGCAUGAAGCGAAACGUGUGGAGAUCUCGCUUAGCGCAGACGGAGGAGAAGAGGAAGAAGGGAUACAGGCCGAACCUGAGCAGGAAGCAGCAGCAGCAGCCGCACAAGGGAAAGAGGCAGGAGACGGAGCAGGAGAAGGAGAAGAAAAGGACGACGGCGCCGUUGGCGCUGGAGCUCCCGCGAACCGCGAGGCCGGCGGCGAUGGCGGCCGAGAAGCGGGAGAGCAGGGGCCGGAGGAGCAGCCCCCGCAGGCCGCCGUCGAAUGUCCGCAGCCUGGAGCCAGGCGGCAGGCGGGCCGCCGCGCCACGUUCACCCCGGUGCAGCUGCGGGAGCUGGAGGGCGUUUUCCGCCACACUCCGUAUCCCGAAUUGUGGUUGCGACAGGAGCUUGCUAGACGCAUGGGUGUGACUGAAGCCAGGGUGCAGGUGAGUAAACCUGAACAAAGCAGCUCGGCAGGGCAGCCCUUCUAAAACCUGCUUCUGUCCUACACGGUCUCACGUUUGUGUGUUUUUGUUGCCUCUUCCGUGUUUGGGAAAUGAGUUUUGAACUUUGGGGUCCUGGUGGGUGGAAAACGGGGUAAGUAAACAGCAGCUUUUGGAAACUGCCCGUCACCAGAAGGAACGUGAUUUCCUAAAGGAGAAAAAAAAAUGAUCAUUAGUACACUGUUCCUUAUAUACAAAGGUAGAUGUGUAUGUAUAGCUCAACUCCUUUUGACACGGGUAUCCUUUAGGUAACACUUGUGUGUGGAGUCACAUUGGGGUUAAGUCUGAAGUGGAAAUUGCUCAGAUGAAUGCACCAAGAAGUUCCAUUAUACUAAAUUACUUAAAACCAAGCAUAAGCUCUUUAUGUAAGGAGUGAAUUUAUAAGUAUCUAGGCAUUGAAGAGGGGGCGUAAUUCACACAUAGAACACAGCAGAGGAGCAGCUGAUGUGUGUUUGGUUCGGCCGAGACCGGUGGGGAGGGUAUAGCAUGAGUCCAAGCGCCUGGUCCUCCUGCCGUUGUUUUGAAGUGUUUGGCAGAGUGGUGUAGAGAAUGGCGGCCCUAAAUUUUAAUCUUCUGCAAUUCUUUGAUAUGUGAGCCUGCAAACACUGCUAACAUAGUAGGUUGUGCAUGGUGGCGGGACGGGAGGGGUGUUGCAACCUUGUAACUAUGUCCAAAAGAUGAAACAAAGGAAAGUACAACAAUUUCAAAGUUCCACCGACCUAAGAAAGGUGGAAGCAAGGUGCAAGCGCCAGGCGCGAAUUAGAGAGUCGAACGUAUGCCUUGGGGACGUCACACACAUUCAAAUUUUUGAGACUCCAAGUGCAUUGGUGAAUAUUCUCUGGAGGAAUGUCUAACACCUAAGAGGUGUGUCCUUCCUUCCGGUGGCGCUGUCGUGAAGCGGUGGGUUGUGUGGAACUUGGUGGGGGGGGGGGAGGCGGGGGAUGGCUCUUAGUUCAGGCUGGAUGCUCACCUGUGGGAAUUUGAAAUG